rnacentral:rRNA from 1 species
CGCGCGAGCGAACGAGUGGAAGAGCCACUCCAUGACAAUCGGUUGCACCCGCGCAGUCCCGAAUUGUACGUACUCGGAGAAGCGUGACGCACGGCGUUCGUCGCCUUGAGCCUCUCGGGCCGAAGACGUGCCAUGGGCUAGCCCCAUUGGUUCUCUUCGCCCAAACAACAAACCCCCGGCGCCGAACGCGCCAAGGAACAUGAUUCUAAGGGCGUUCUCUUGUCGUCCCGGCAACGGUGCACGUGCAAUGAGUGACGCGAAAUUUGUAUCCAAAAUGACUCUCGGCAACGGAUAUCUCGGCUCUCGCAUCGAUGAAGAACGUAGCGAAAUGCGAUACUUGGUGUGAAUUGCAGAAUCCCGUGAACCAUCGAGUCUUUGAACGCAAGUUGCGCCCGAAGCCAUUAGGCCGAGGGCACGUCUGGCUGGGUGUCACGCAACGUCGCCCCAACCCCCACGCCCAUCGCAGGGCGUCGGGGGUCAAGGGCGGAUGAUGGCCUCCCGUGAGCCACGCCUCGCGGAUGGCCGAAAUAAGAGUUUGCGAUGUGGCGAGCACCACGGCGCACGGUAGUUGAGUAAACAACGCUCGAGCCCAGUCGUGAGUGCUCCGCCCCCGUGGCGAGCUCGGAGACCCUAUCGCGUCUCGGGACGCUUCUGAUGCGACCUCAGCUCAGGCGGGGCUACCCGCUGAGUUUAAGCAUAUCAAUAAGCUGGUUGAGGUAGAAGUMGUAACAAGGAUUCCCCUAGUAACGGCGAGCGAACCGGGAAGAGCCCACCAUGAAAAUCUGUCGCCC